GGUAAAAUGGCUGAUUAAAGGUAGUAAACUGUAAAUUUACUUAUGGGAUGUAAUAUCUCUUUUACCA
rnacentral:tRNA from 2 species